rnacentral:rRNA from 1 species
AUCGAACGCUGGCGGCAGGCCUAACACAUGCAAGUCGAACGAGGGGUGGACGGGUGAGUAAUGUCUGGGAAACUGCCCGAUGGAUGGGGAUAACUACUGGAAACGGUAGCUAAUACCGCAUACCAUCGAAUGUGCCCCGAUGGGAUUAGCUAGUAGGUGUGGUAACGGCUAACCUAGGCGACGAUCCCUAGCUGGUCUGAGAGGAUGACCAGCCACACUGGAAAUGAGAACCGGUCCAGACUCCGACGUGAGGCAGCAGUGGGUAAUAUUGCACAAUGGGCGCAAGCCUGAUGCAGCCAUGCCGCUUGUAUGAAGAAGGCCUUCGGUUUGUAAAGUACUUUCAGCGAGGAGGCGUUACUCGCAGAAGAAGCACCGGCUAACUCCGUGCCAGCAGCCGCGGUAAUAC